UGGGGAAUUUUGGACAAUGGGGGAAACCCUGAUCCCAGCCAUCCCGCGUGUGCGAUGAAGGCCUUCGGGUUGUAAAGCACUUUUGGCAGGAAAGAAACGUCGCGGGUUAAUACCCCGCGAAACUGACGGUACCUGCAGAAUAAGCACCGGCUAACUACGUGCCAGCAGCCGCGGUAAUACGUAGGGUGCAAGCGUUAAUCGGAAUUACUGGGCGUAAAGCGUGCGCAGGCGGUUCGGAAAGAAAGAUGUGAAAUCCCAGAGCUUAACUUUGGAACUGCAUUUUUAACUACCGGGCUAGAGUGUGUCAGAGGGAGGCGGAAUUCCGCGUGUAGCAGUGAAAUGCGUAGAUAUGCGGAGGAACACCGAUGGCGAAGGCAGCCUCCUGGGAUAACACUGACGCUCAUGCACGAAAGCGUGGGGAGCAAACAGGAUUAGAUACCCUGGUAGUCCACGCCCUAAACGAUGUCAACUAGCUGUUGGGGCCUUCGGGCCUUGGUAGGCGCAGCUAACGCGUGAAGUUGACCGCCUGGGGAGUACGGUC
rnacentral:rRNA from 1 species